AGGUCAGGUGUUCGUAAUGGGCUAUAUGCACGCAUUACUUCCGCGUUUUGUCUAAGGCCGCGGUCCAGCUUCCGGUCUGGGUGAUUUUAAGCGGAGGUAAACAGUAUUAUGGCAGAGUCGUCAAUAUUUACUCACUGUUUGCGAGUAAAUUAUGGUCAACGAUGUGCAAAUGAUUGUCCGGAUGUGCUCUACAACACCGCAGAGCAAAGCUUGAGAAAGGUUUCAAGUUUUAUGCAUCUUCCUACCUGUGCAAUUAUGAAGGUAACAUUAUGAGAUUCAGAGCUAGAAAAUUUUAUGUGUUACUUCAUCCUGGAGUGGACAUCCGUCAGAAGAUCCAUGCCAUCGUCUGCUAGUUAAUAGCUCCUGUUCUUGUGUGGCUGAGAGUGGGAUAUGCAAACAUUUGGUUGCUUUGCUUUUCCAGACAGCCCAUUACUCUGAAAUGUGUAAUGUGUGUUGUCACAUGAACAAUUGUUUGGAAUGGAUCAAUUAUGUGUUAAGUUCCAUGAAACAGAUGGGUGUUUAUUUAUUUAUUUAAUACGUAUCAGCCCAAAUACCUCUCUAUGCACAAGUUACAGAAGAAGCACCUGAUUCAAGAAAACAACUGAUUCAAUGUCAUUGUUUCUGUUCAUCUGAAUAAAAUAUUUUUUUCAAAAUGUUA